GAUCAUCCAACAUUCAUCCACAUCAACAUUUAAAUAUGCAAUGCAACAUAUUCGUGAAUUCUAAUGCAAGCAACCUAAUUCAUCACAUGGCAUUCAUGAUGCGUGAAACAUGCUGAAAAGUCCAUUAUUUGCUUAAAAACAUAAUAAGUUAUUCCACUCACCUCUGGAUAGCUCUGACCAGACACUGGGGCAACAGACUCACU
rnacentral:lncRNA from 1 species